GUGUGAUUGACAGUGGGCCCGGUGUGAUGAUAGCUGGCUUUGCUGAUGAUUGGCCAGCCGUUGUGAUCGACAGUGGGCCCGGUGUGAUGAUAGCUGGCUUUGCUGAUGAUUGGCCAGCCUUUAUGAUUGACAGUGGGCCCGGUGUGAUGAUAGCUGGCUUUGCUGAUGAUUGGCCAGCCUUUAUGAUUGACAGUGGGCCCGGUGUGAUGAUAGCUGGCUUUGCUGAUGAUUGGCCAGCCGUUGUGAUUGACAGUGGGCCUGGUGUGAUGAUAGCUGUUUUUGCUAAUGAUUGGAUCCCCAGAUACUGCUUUUCAAACUAUGUGGGUGUGUUCAUGUCAUGACAGGAGCCCUCGAAGGUGACAUCUUCAUUGGCCCCAAAGCUGAGGAGCACUGGGGACUGCUGUGAGUCUGUUACCUCAUGGAACAUGGCAUCAUCAAGGACUGAAACACAUCUGGCAAUAUGUCUAUUCUAAAGACCAGAUGCAGAGGUUCUCAGAGAAGCAUCCUGUGCUCCUGACUGAGGCACUUUUAAGCCCUCGGAGAAACCUGGAGCGAGCUGCAGAUGCUUUCUUCGAGAUCUUCAGUGUGCCAGCUCUCUUCAUCUCCAUGCAAGCUGUGCUUAGCCUUUAUGCACAGGCAGAACCACAGGCCUGGUGUGGAUUCUGGGAAUGGAGUCAUCGUGCGGUCCUGAUUCACUAUGCCUCACUCCAUCAUGCAUGUUGACAUUGCUGGUUGAGAUGUGUCACACUUCUUCUGCCUCUACCUAUGGAAGGAGGGCUAUGAUUUCCACUCCUCCAUUGAGUUUGAGAUUGUCAAGACCAUAAAGAAAAGAGCUUGCUACCUGUUCAUAGCUCCCAGAAGGAUGAGACACUGGAGACGGAGAAGGCUCAGUACUACCUGCCUGAUGGCAGCAAAGUUGAAAUAGGCCCUUCCAGGUUCCGGGUCCCCGAGCUGCUGUUCAGGCCAGACUUGAUUGGCAAGAAGAGUGAAAGUAUCCAUGAAGUGCUGUGCUGGUGUUUGCUAUCCAGAAGUCCGACAUGGAUUUAAGGUGUACACUUUUUUUCAACAUUGUCCUCUCAGGAGGUUCUACUGUGAGUGAAGUGAAGAAACUAGUUCCAAAAGACAUGAAGAUCAGGAAAUCUGAACCCCAGGAGAAAAUCCUGUAUUCCACAUGUACUGGAGACUCUUAUCUUUGCUUCCUCAACACCUUUAAGAAGAUGUGGGUCUCUAAAGAGGAAUAUGAAGAAGAUGCCCGAUCCAUUCACAGGAAAACCUUCUAA
rnacentral:lncRNA from 1 species